UUAGCUCAGUUGGUUAGAGCAUCUGACUGUUAAUCAGAGGGUCGUAAGUUCGAGUCUUACA
rnacentral:tRNA from 1 species